rnacentral:rRNA from 1 species
ACACAUGAAGUCGAACGGUGAAGCCAAGCUUGCUUGGUGGAUCAGUGGCGAACGGGUGAGUAACACGUGAGCAACCUGCCCUGGACUCUGGGAUAAGCGCUGGAAACGGCGUCUAAUACUGGAUAUGAGCUUCUACCGCAUGGUGGGGGUUGGAAAGAUUUUUCGGUCUGGGAUGGGCUCGCGGCCUAUCAGCUUGUUGGUGAGGUAAUGGCUCACCAAGGCGUCGACGGGUAGCCGGCCUGAGAGGGUGACCGGCCACACUGGGACUGAGACACGGCCCAGACUCCUACGGGAGGCAGCAGUGGGGAAUAUUGCACAAUGGGCGGAAGCNUGAUGCAGCAACGCCGCGUGAGGGAUGACGGCCUUCGGGUUGUAAACCUCUUUUAGCAGGGAAGAAGCGAAAGUGACGGUACCUGCAGAAAAAGCGCCGGCUAACUACGUGCCAGCAGCCGCGGUAAUACGUAGGGCGCAAGCGUUAUCCGGAAUUAUUGGGCGUAAAGAGCUCGUAGGCGGUUUGUCGCGNCUGCUGUGA